AUCUUUUUUUUUCUCUCCAGUUAUCCCACUCUUCAAAAUAGCCUGAAACCAGAAGCAAUAAAGAAUGAAAAUAUGAGUACAAGGGGAAGCGCUAUAGCUCAAGGUCAAGGAUCAGGAAAGGGGUCUAAUGGACAGAAAGAAGAUGUCCUGUUGUUUUCUUGAGCAAAAUCCAAAGAACACAAGAACCAAGGUUUGGAGUUUCAGCUCCCUGCUUUCCUUUGACAGGAAAUCCAGCUGUCAAAUUUGGUUUACAGUGGGAAUUUUACAAAGAAAAUUCCAUUUGAACAAAAGUGAUUUAGAAGAAACAUAAAGGAAUGAGGAACUAUGAAAACCAAGUGCCUUGCUUCAACCAGUUUGUCAGAAAGUUCUCCUGACUCUGAAUAGAGACUGCUAAACUUGCUGUGACAUGUCCCUGAGUGACAUGUCUACUCCUUGAGGAGCAAACAAAAUCUAGAAUUAGUCAAAUCAUAAAAUGGCAACCCAAACUUGAAUAGACAUAGUCUACCUGAACAAAAAUCCCCAGGGGCAACCACAGAGCACUGCUGAUUCCAGAAGUAUUGGAUCUCACCGUGCAUUUAUUUGUACAUUUCUUUUUAAUGCUUGCACAAGAAUGAUAUGAUAAUGACAAAUUAAAACUCCUUUUGUUUUCAGUAAAUGUAACAUCAAACUUAAGUGGUAGUGUACUGGAAUCUAUAUCUCAGCUGUGAUGAUAAUAUUAUUACUGCAUGUAUUUGUGAAAACUUGGCUGAACUACAUGUUAACUGAGGUGUUUACCUAAUUUAAAUUAUGCAUUUAUGAGAUUUUUAAAAUAUUGUAUUAGUUCAAUUGGCACUGCUUUUUUUAAUUUCCUCUUUGUAGUUUAUAAAAUGGUUCCUCUGAACAUUUGAUGGCCUAAAGAUUGACAUUAGUGGGCUGAAAUGAAAUUCUUUUGUGUCUGACCAGUGUUCUAUGUUGGGUUUAUUUCCCAUAACUAAACAUAAACAUACUCACCGAUUUUUCACAAUUUUCUUGGUUCUAAAACUAGUGACUUACAAAAACGUAUUCUGACUCCCAGAAAACAUCAGUUAUAUGUUUUAAAAUUUUCUAUCUGAAAGAUAUUAAGGAUGGAAUCAACAAGAGAUAAAUGAAAAAAUGGCACACCCAAAAAGUACAUCCAGGUUACUGUCAUCAAGUUAAGACCAGGAAUAAAUCAAGAACCUGAGCAACCAUCUGCAAAAGUUCAGAGGGAGAAAAAUGUUUUCAUUUAUAUUCUCUAAGUUAAACUCUAGAAGCAUCUAGAUAGAUCAAUCUAAAUUCAUAUUUUUUUCCUGAGGUUCAGUAGUUCUUAUAGACCUGAGAAUAUAAAACACAUUUGGUUUCAUUCUACAAUGAAUAUACCUGCAGCAUGCUCUUGAUUUCUCACAGCCACUCCCUUACUUGGUCAGAUGCAAAUUUGUGAUUGCCAUGAUAACCCAUUUCAAACUGAGGCUUUGAAAUUUUCCUCUGACAUCACAAGUAGCUAAAGGUAUUUUGAGACAUAUCUCACCAACAGCAAGCACCAGAUAUAAGAGAACUAAAUCAUUUU